UUGGCAGAAUGCUUGUUGUUCUGUACUGAAAUGCUGGGUGAGCUGCUUUGAGGUCUCAAACGACCCUCCCUUGAAGCAAACUGUUCUUUUAAGACAUCCGCUGCAGCUUCCCCUCGCUGCCUGUGACCACUGGAUUCUCACUGAAACCUGAAAACAAACUGAUGGAAUUGUACACCCGAGCCUCGCAGACUUCACUGGAAUCGGCAUCCAGGAAAUCUAGGAAGCAAGGCUUGCACAAAUUGUGACUAACUUAAACUGUGGAUCCUAUCAGUGGUUCCUCUUUGUUUGGUUUGAUGUGACCAGAAAUGGAAAUGGAAGAUAUUAAGCUGCCAGAAUUAUCUUAUUUCAGAUAAAGCUGAAGUAAAGAUGACCCCUCCCAGGAAUACCACCCUGCCACAAUGAGGCAGCACAGCAGUAUUGAGCAGAACAUCUCAGACUAGGCAUCCAAAUUUAUGCUUGUUGUAAUUCAUGCGUAGAAAAUCUAAAAACAGGGUAUCUCAUCUAGUUUAACCUUUAUAUAUGUUUUCAAAAAACUUCACAUACAUUAUCUGAAAAUCUAUUUUAGAAUUCAAAGAUCUAAGACAGACCUUUUAGACUUCAAAGGUCACCAGGUUGUGCAAGUUUUAUCACAAUAAUUCACAUACUAUGUCUGGAUGGCUGCAUUCAGCCUGAUUGUUCAGAUUCAUUCAUUUAUAUUUAUUUUAAAAGAUUUAUAUAGCUGCCCAUGUUGUAGUAAUAAUCCUGGGCUAUGCACAAAACAGUAAAAACAACAGAAACCUCCAACCAAAAAGAAAGUAAGUAAAAACUCUAUGGUUUGUUACCCUGUCAUUUCUGAUAUGAGUGCCGUAUCUCAUAUAAGCUCUCUCAAGGUGCAAAACCAACCAACCAACCAACCAAAGAAGCAAAAACCUAUGACCCAAAUACAAUACUCAGGGGCAGCUCAACACAGCCUGAUCAUGGUCAGUGAAAAACUGAAUGGAGUAUCAUGGAAUGACUACACCCUAAUUUAAUUAUGGUAUCCUUUCAGCACUCUCUAAUUCACUACUUCAUUAGAAAGUUUUUGUUAUGAGGAGAAAAGCCUUUCAA